rnacentral:rRNA from 1 species
CAUAUCAAUAAGCGGAGGAAAAGAAACCAACAGGGAUUGCCUCAGUAACGGCGAGUGAAGCGGCAUCAGCUCAAAUUUGAAAUCCGGCGCCUCCGGUGCCCGAGUUGUAAUUUGCAGAGGUGGCCUCGGGCGCGGUCCCGGUACAAGUUCCGUGGAACAGGACGUCGUGGAGGGUGAGAGCCCCGUUCGCGACCGGCGACCAACCCCAUGCGUGGCCCCUUCGACGAGUCGAGUUGUUUGGGAAUGCAGCUCCAAGCGGGAGGUAAAUUUCUUCUAAAGCUAAAUAUCGGCCGGAGACCGAUAGCGCACAAGUAGAGUGAUCGAAAGAUGAAAAGCACUUUGGAAAGAGAGUCAAAAAGCACGUGAAAUUGUUGAAAGGGAAGCGCUUGCGAUCAGACCCGGCCGCGGUUGCUCAGCCCGCCUUCUGGCUGGCCCACUCUCCCGCGGCCGGGCCAGCGUCGGUUCGGGCGGCCGGAUAAAGGCGGGGGGAAAGUAGCUCCCCUCGGGGAGUGUUAUAGCCCCCCGCGCAAUGCGGCCCGCCCGGGCCGAGGCACGCGCUCUUGCGAGGACGCUGGCGUAAUGGUCGUAAGCGGC